GACGAACGCUGGCGGCGUGCCUAAUACAUGCAAGUCGAGCGAGCAAUUUUGACGGAAUACUUCGGUAGGAAGUCAGAAGCGCGAGCGGCGGAUGGGUGAGUAACACGUGGGCAACCUGCCCUUUAGCUUGGGAUACCACUUGGAAACAGGUGCUAAUACCAAAUAAGCAGCACGAGCGCAUGCUCAAGCUGAGAAAGGCGGCUUUCGAGCUGUCACUAAAGGAUGGGCCCGCGGUGCAUUAGCUAGUUGGUAAGGUAACGGCUUAUCAAGGCGAUGAUGCAUAGCCGAGUUGAGAGACUGACCGGCCACAUUGGGACUGAGACACGGCCCAAACUCCUACGGGAGGCAGCAGUAGGGAAUCUUCCACAAUGGACGCAAGUCUGAUGGAGCAACGCCGCGUGAGUGAAGAAGGUUUUCGGAUCGUAAAGCUCUGUUGUUGGUGAAGAAGGACAAGGGUAGUAACUGAUUCUUGUUUGACGGUAAUCAACCAGAAAGUCACGGCUAACUACGUGCCAGCAGCCGCGGUAAUACGUAGGUGGCAAGCGUUGUCCGGAUUUAUUGGGCGUAAAGCGAACGCAGGCGGGAGAAUAAGUCAGCUGUGAAAGCCCUCAGCUUAACUGGGGAAGUGCAACUGAAACUAUUUUUCUUGAGUGCAGAAGAGGAGAGUGGAACUCCAUGUGUAGCGGUGGAAUGCGUAGAUAUAUGGAAGAACACCAGUGGCGAAGGCGGCUCUCUGGUCUGUAACUGACGCUGAGGUUCGAAAGCAUGGGUAGCGAACAGGAUUAGAUACCCUGGUAGUCCAUGCCGUAAACGAUGAGUGCUAAGUG
rnacentral:rRNA from 1 species